UUCCCCAGACCUCCCUGCUACAUUUCUGGCUGGUCUGCUGGCCUAUCGCUUUUCCCAGCCACUACUGAGACCUCAGCCUACCUGAUAUUGGCCUCCCUGAUGGUAUGACACUGAGAUCGCUAUUGUUUCUGGCAGUGUCUCUGGGUGUGGAAUUUUCUCCCCUUGGCUCCACACAGUGCACCCCCUUUCCCUCCACUCUGAUAGACCUGCUGCACCAUGAAGCUGAACCGGAGAAAGCUUCUAGAGGCUGCCUGCAUUCCUUGGCUUGGGGCCCUUCCAGCUUCAACGGCAGCAAUGACUGGCUGUAGACCAGUGUGACCUUCUCACACUGCCUCGCUCUUCCCCACUUAGGGAACCCUUGUGAUCACAUUGGGCCCACUCAGAUAAGAGAUCCGGGCCCGUGCAGUGGGUAUUGCAUCCCUGGGGCAGUGAUGUCCUGGAGCUCAGUGCACUUGAAUGUAAGGAGAG